AUGGGGUCUGGCCCUUUCUUCUUCUCCCUCACAGCCUUCAGUAAUCUGGAAAAUCUGGUCUCUGUUAAAGGUGUCCAAGCAAAGAUCUUCCCUGAGAUUCUCCUCUGCUUGCUGUUGGUGCUCAUUGCAUCCAGCUUCAUCCACCAAGGCUGUGUCAUCACCUACUCCAUCUUCUCCAUGGUUACUCUGAACUAAAUCAACAAGAUCUCCUCCACACUGUACCAGGAAAUAACUUCAGUCCUCACAGUAGCUGAAAUGACUCUCCCUUAAAA
rnacentral:lncRNA from 1 species